AGCUCUUAAUAAUGGGAAGAGCUUUCCAGAAAGCUCAAUUCUGUGGGGGCAGGGUGUAUUAAACCUUCGUGGAGUGGAAGCGAUAUCGGAUACUGCUUAAGAGCCCCACAAAAGGCAAGGCUGGAGACUUGCGACGAGCAGCCACUGGCACUGGAGGUGAACCAAAUUUCAACACUUCUUUGACCCCUAUCGAAGAACAAUAUAAGUAUAAUUGGGAACGUGGCAGUAGAGGGAGAACCCAAAAUCCAGAUUCCAAUAAAUGAAUCAUAGAUUCCUGACCUGCCUACUCAACCAAGUACAUCUACUGUACAUCACCAAUAUGAGAAAUCAUUAUUGAUGAGCAGCUUAGUGACAACUAUACAACAAACAGAGGAGCCUUCACAAAUAGAAGCUACACAUAACCGCUACAUAUUUCACUAGCAUUAGAAGUUUCUCAGUCUGUCUAUCAUGUUGAUACUGAGAUACCAGAAGUUAGCACACCAACCAGCACACAACACCGUCAGCCUUUAAGAAGUAAUAAACUUAUCCAAAUAUAUUUGAAACCUUUUCAUAGCCAUUGUUCACCUAACAACUAACAUUUUUUUGAAAUUCCAUUAAUAACAAGAUAUUAAGAUAAGCCUUUAUUAACUGAAUUGAAUUACAUUAAUGCUAUGUACAUAAUAUAUUUCAAAUAAAUAAAUAAUAUUUUAGUUUU